rnacentral:snRNA from 1 species
AUACCUUUCUCGGCCUUUUGGCUAAGAUCAAGUGUAGUAUCUGUUCUUAUCAGUUUAAUAUCUGAUACGUGGGUCAUUGACCCACAUGAUAUUAAAUUUAUUUAUUUAGGGGGAGGGUCCAUCACAGUAGCUUGCUACUGGGAUCCUCGAGCGUCGCCCAUGCGUUGCACUACAGCACGGGCCUGGCGCACCCCAC